rnacentral:lncRNA from 1 species
CUUUUAGGUGGUCGUUUCUUACCAGAGGAUGCAUUAAAGGCCAGCUCCUCCCCACAAUCCCCCUCUCCAAAGUUUUUGUCUGCUCUCAUCAUUUUCUGGGUCAUGUUGUCAUUGUUCCUGAAGGGGCCUUGUCUCUGCUAAUGGGUUAUAACUGCUUGAGAGUUGGAAUCCCAUCACAUUUAUGAGCCGACACACAACACCAAGCAAGAAGAUUGAGGGAGGAAAGGAAGAUCAUAGGCAGUGUUUGGGAAGCAUCACAUAAUACUCCCUAGGGAUGGAAGACAAAUACAGGUGUCAUGGAGUAGCAAAGGCGGAGUUCAUCAGCUCAUCAGCACAGGCCAUUCUUCCUGAGCAUGCAUCCUAGUGAUGGAGGUUGAGUCCUACUCCCUAUUAGGUGAUAGACUAUUGAUAAAAACAAGGAGGGUGAUGACGAUAAUCAGCAGUUAAUACAUGCUUGUACUGUAUGCCAGGCACCGUGCAAGUGCAUGAAAAGCCUCAUCUCAUUUAGUCCCUCCAACAUUCUUAUCAGGUCAAUUCUAUUAUUACCCCCCCUCUUACAGUCGGGAAAAUUGAGUUCUAGAGAGUUUGCCAUUGGCCCAAGUGACUCAAUGGCAAAGCCAUGCCUCAACCCCAUGUCUGCAGAGUCUUAAGCACAGCUCGAGUUCUGUUCUCUGCCACUUUUGGGAUGUCCUGUGAAGCCCCUGCUACAGGGAUUGGGCAUGGCUGGGUGCUCUGUCUACUCAGGGCUUCUAGAUUCCCGAGGAGAGAGAGAGAGAGAGUGUGUGUGUGUGUGUGUGUGUGUGUGUGUACAUGUGAGAGAAGAAGAAAGAGAGGGAGAGAGAGGGCAAUUUAAAAAGCGUAUGUAGGUGUUUGCCUGGCCCAACAGCUUACCUAUAGUAUUUAGUGCAUGUGUAUCAGGGUCUGGGAGGAAAAGCACCACCAGGCAUGACGCGGGUCAGGGCAGGGCAUGACUGGGACUUCCCUGUGUGGUCUCUGCCUGCACAGGUCCUUUGGGCUCUGGUGGGGGACCAGGCCUGGGUAGGCAGCACCACUAGCUAUUCUCUGCCCCUCCUUGGUGGCCCUGCAGAGGGUGUGGGUCAGUCCCCUGCAAUAACCUGGCCCCUGUGCAAAGGUGUUUUUCAGAGGCAUCACUGUGAACGCGGUGCGGGGCUUCCCAAUGAGUGCGGCCAUGUUCCUUGGGUACGAGCUGUCGCUGCAGGCUAUCCGCGGGGACCACACAGUGACGAGCCCAUGAGCGCCAGAAAGAUCACUGUAGCCUGAGGACUCUUCUAAAGACAGCAGUCUGACUCCUGUGCUCACAUGCCCUCCUUGGCUCCCCAUUGCCCUCUAGAUAAAGCCUUCACCCUGCUUCUGCUGGCCUCACCCCUCACCACUGUUCUGAAUGUCCCGCCGUCUCUCUCACCCCUAGGUCUUUGCUCAGGCUGUCCCCUCUGCCUGACAUCCUCUUCUCGCUCCUUUCCUACUUGUCCUUGGCUUCACCAGCUCUUUGCCAUCCAGGCUGUAGAAGUCUCCUCCUCCAGGAUGCCGGCUUGCUUUCUCAGCUAGGGGUCUCAUCCCAUUAACAGGUCAAUGCUAAAAGUGUCUGCAGAACCCAUGAUGUGAAUUUACUGAAGAGAAAGACUCUCCACCAGGUGGGCUUUCAGCCAGGCAGGCUGUCCUCAGAACCUCUUCCUUCCUUCACAAUUACAAGCAUUCUCAUCCCCACCCCGGCUGGGGCAGCGGAGCUUCUGCCUUGGAGGGAUUCAACUGACCAUUGGUCAACUGAUCACCAACUAUUCCAGCUUUGGACCUGCACCUGGUAACAAACAAACGAACAGAACAAAACAAA